CAGCACAAGCCUAACCAGGGAAUUCGAAGAGCUCAUAAAAUGUUCAUUGGCAUCGUUUAAGAACAAAACUUCUUGCUUCGAGAAACAAUACAAACCGGUUAACAAAAGACUGCUUCUGGAACUUGACGAGAAUUACAACGAAAGUACGAGUGCUGAAGCAGACGCAUACCAAGCGUUCUUUAGGAAUUUCAGCAACUAC